rnacentral:lncRNA from 11 species
UUUCCAAACUCUAUCACAACACAGUAGUGUGUCAGCUGCCAUGUGCAGGUGUGUCACACAAAUGUAACAAGAAACCUCUGUCCCUAUAUGGAACGAGCAGUAAAUCGUACAUUUUUAAAAAUAUAAAUAAAAUGUUUUCAUGAAAUAUGUUGUGUCCCCAGAUAUUUCAUUAUGACAAAUGAUAUAUGUGUCCACAUCUCUAAUAUGGCCUUGCUUUAACCUCUGCUUUGCUAGUAAAAAUUACUGUGUUGCAAAAUGAAGCAUAUCUAAGAAGUGCGUCACCAACAUGACAUGUUUGGAAAGCUCUGGAUUAGUGGUUUAAGUGUUGCUCUAUGACCAUACCCCUGCUUGGACAUGAAACCACUGCGUGACCUUUGGCAAGUCGCACUCUUUCAGCCUCUAAAGGAAAGCAAUGGCAAAGGCUGGAAAUGCUUUGAAAGCACACAACGCUUCUUCAGCCAGAAGAGCUUAUCAUCCUCACUCCUCCUGUGGCCCCCGACAUCCUACAAACAUGCUCUGGCUGAGAUAAGAAAACGGUUCAGAGGGAGGACCCCAGAGUCCAUGAAUCCCGCUAAAAACUACACCUCCCAGGAUCCUUUGUCCCAGCUCCAUCCCCAUUCAGCCCCGGUCCUCGCUUGAAUGGACAUCCUCGUCGGUCGGGGCGGUGUUCUCUCGGGUCCGCCCCUCCUGGAGAGGAGGGCCAAUGGGGGCUCAGUCCACGUCGCCCUUUAGCAUGGAUGCAUAAUCCUCCGAGCCCGGCACUGGGAAGCACCCGAAAGGCGAGGCGGACCCGAAAGGGCUCCCUGGGGCGCGUGGACAGUCAAUCAUGUGAGACCUCUUCCUUCGGCUUCUAGUGCCAGUGUCUUGCCUGUGCGCCUUGGGAGCAUCCGUGCAGAGGAGGGCAUCUGGGAUGUGUAGCACUCUUGGGCAGGGAAGGCGCAAGACCACUACAGCUUCCCA